rnacentral:rRNA from 1 species
CAGUAGCCGCGGUAAUACGAAGGGUGCAAGCGUUACUCGGAAUUACUGGGCGUAAAGCGUGCGUAGGUGGUGGUUUAAGUCCGUUGUGAAAGCCCUGGGCUCAACCUGGGAAUUGCAGUGGAUACUGGAUCACUAGAGUGUGGUAGAGGAUAGUGGAAUUUCCGGUGUAGCAGUGAAAUGCGUAGAGAUCGGAAGGAACAUCUGUGGCGAAGGCGACUAUCUGGGCCAACACUGACGCUCAUGCACGAAAGCGUGGGGAGCAAACAGGAUUAGAUACCCGGGUAGUCCCUGUCUCUUAUAC